AUGUGAGUGGGGUGGCCAGAAUGGGAGCGUAGGUGUUGCUGUACUGGUAUUGAAUGGAUAUCAAAGUUUUUAGUCAUUUCAUAAGGUACUUAUCAAACUUUUUAGUAUGUGGCAACAGCAGUAACUGUGCCAAUAUCCACUGUGUCUCGUGAUUUGAAAACUGCGACCAAGUGUUGCUGAAUAAUCUUGGGAGAAACAGCAGGGAAUGACACCAUUGGCAUGAAGUCCUGACAGAGUUUGUGACAAACUGUGGAUUAUGGGCAUAGUUUGCUGUGCCAUUUGAGACAUUUGAAGAGAAAACUCCAAGAUGUCUGCUCAUCACACUCUCAAAAGUUCCACAGAAGAUCAGCAUAGGGCUUCCGAUGAUGAGGACAAAGCUGAGUUCAUGAAGCCAUUUAAAGAAGG